rnacentral:tRNA from 1 species
GUCUUUGUAGUAUAACUAUUACCCUGGUCUUGUAAACCAGCAAUGGAGA